UUGAUUGGCUAAGUGCCCUCUGGUGUGAACCUUAGGCCAACCGGAAAGAAGAACAAAGGGAAAGGGGAGGGUAGACAUGAAGCUAGCCUGGAAGGCAGGACUAUCUACCGAAAAUGGCCCACUACAUCUGUCUCUACAUCGCUGAGACUUCCAGUUGAACUCCACAAGAAUAUCCAGGAAGAUAUUGUGUCCUCAGUAUUGCACACCAGGAAAAGAAACCUUACAAGACUCUCAGUGACAGCAUUCUAGCUUGGGGCAUUGUUGAAGCAGCUGUCCUAUAGUUUGGAGGAAACAAUACCCAAACAGGCAGAAGGUCCUUUGCUGGUGAGAGAAGAGCGAGAAAGAAAGAGAAUGAAUGAAUGGGCAUGCCAAGGCC